rnacentral:lncRNA from 1 species
CGCACGAGACCCGGCCAUCGGAAGAGUGGGGCCUCGAAGAUUAUGAGGACACAGCUCACACUGUAGUCGCAUCUCGCUACACAUCCAUGUUCCCAAGGCCCUCUUGUUGAACGGGCACCAUCAUAAAUUACAUAAUGACAAGCAUCGGCACCAAUAAUUGGCAAUGGUAUGCAUCAAGGGAAAAUCACAUCACAUCAAAUCAGUAACAGUCAUGGUUCAAAAUAUCAGUCGGGUUCGGUACAACUCGGCUGAAGCGAAUAAUCUUUCAACACAAACCCAAUUAAGAACCGUUAAACUUAGUCGCCUCCGUUGAGAUUCUUAGUAGACUCAAUUGAAAUUACGAGUUCAAUUGUUUAAAAUCUAAAUUUUCUCAAAUUAAACCAAUUUUUUUUUCUCUCUUUUAUAUCACAACAAAAGGCAACCAAAAUUGAGAAAUCUUUAAUAAAUAUGAGAGAUUUUCUUAAAAAUAAAUUUUUUUCAAGACCCAUAAUCGUGAAGGAUAAAAAAGAAGAAAGAAAGUUUCAUAUUGGUGAUGUAGUUGUGGUGGCCAACCGGUAAGAAACAUCACAUUCUUUCAUCGAUGAUGAUCUUUGCAUAUUGGUGUUGCCUCUCCUUGCUCGAUCUCUAUUGUUUGGUUGUGUAGGUAUCCCUUGGGAUUCAGAAUUAAAGAAAAUGACUUAAUGUAUUGUUUUAUAUAAAAAUGAUUUAUUAUUUCAAAUGUUCAUGUAUUUACAUCAUUUUACCUUAUAUGACAAUGGUGUUUGAAAUUGGAAAUUUGAAAAUUAGUAUUUUACCUUAUAUGCUAACCGUAUUUGGAAUUGAAAAUUUAAAAAUUAGUAUUUUAUAGAUUAAAUAUGGUAUGAAUGCCUUUAAUUUAGGUAAUAUAUUAUUUUAUAUGGUAAUGGUAUUAUAUAAGGCAGAUUAUUUUAUAUAUUAAUUUAUUGUUAAUAAUUUAAGAAAUUAUUUGAUUUAUUAUUAUGUCAAUAAUUUAUUAUUAAAUUUAUUAGUUUUUUAAUUCAUUUAAUUAUAUUAAAAUUUUUUUGAACUUUUAAGUAUCUUAUUUUGCGUAUCACCUGAUACCAAACCGAGAUACCAAUAUUGUGCCUUAGAACCCUAGAGUCAAUGAUCGAUACCGCGAUUUGGAACCAUGAUUGAAACAUUUAUGCACCUGUAUGAUAUUCAACAUUUUCAAAUAAAAGAUGAUAUUAUACAAAAUGAAGAAUUUAAUAAUGUAAAAAUAUAAUAACCUAUAGAAAAUAAGUAAUAACAAAACAUUUGUUUUAUCCAUGCAAACCAUACUAGCAAAUAACAUUUUCUAUGCUAUUUGAAUAUUAUCUAAAAUAAAAAUGACUAACAUAUAAUAGUAGUAAACCACAUAAUAAUGUAACUUGAUAGUGAGUUGAUGGUUGGGAAGCUAAGCCAAAAUGAGGUGGUGGUUAGUUAAAAGUAUUGGUUUGUUGUGGCAUGAAACUCUAUAUCAUUGCCUUCAACUCCACCAAUUGAGUGGUAGUUGUAGUCUUAAAACUCUAUGAUCUAUCGUAGCAACUUCUUUGUCUCUUCUUAGGAAAUUCAGUUGCACUCGAACACUUAAGUUGUGAUUCAUUUCCCAAACCUUGAAUGUAACUUGAUCACUUCUCGAGCACUCAAUGAUUUGUCUAUAAGUCAGAUAAGAGUAUCAACCUUCAAGGUACUUUGCUCUUGAAUGUCAUGCAUCUCUUCCUGGAAAAUAUAGUAAAAUUUCAAUUAGUAAAAAUAUUAAAAUAAUGUGAUGCAUCAAGAAUCUAGCAUCUAUCUAGUUAAAUUGGCACCUUCUUAAGAUAAACAAGUCAAUCAACAUGUAAAUAUUAGCAUAUCAACCAAAAAAAAGCAACAUAUUACCAAGAAAAAAAAGCCUUCAACACAAAUUUUUUUAGUUAAACCCGAGAAAAACAAAACCUAGAGCGUGGCAACUCACUUGACAGCCGCUCACACGGAUUCUGCAGAGCCUCCCGAAGAAACUGAUCCACUUGGUUGACAGAGUCCUCAGAAAUCAUCCCGGAACCGACGAAGACGACAAAGCCGGAGCAGAAGCAGAAGCUGAAGCUGGUAUCGAGGCAUCGAGAGAGGAAGAGGAAUCUUUCUUGGAGGAUGAAGAGGAGAGCAUCAAUCUGUUCAUGCUCUCGUCCAAAUCAGCGACCUCCCAGGACUCAGGGCCUCCGAGAUCGUGAAUGUAAAACAUAAAAUGUUAUUUGGUAAUCUGAUCAUGAUUUGCAGGCAAAGGUUGUGUUUUUCAGCCUGGCUCAAAAAUCGUGGAUUUAGGGUUCGUGAAAUUUAAAUCCAAUGGCACAAAGCAAAGCGACCCCUAGAAUAGAUCCAGAAAACACAGGAAGCAAAAAAAAAAAGCAAUCUUUCUAGUUUUCCUUGGGGGUUUUGCAUGGAUUUUCUCGGAAAUCAAACGAGGAUGAAUUUUCCCGGAAAUCGAAUGGGGAUGGAUUUUCUUGGGAAUCAAACGGGAGUUGCAAAAAAAGAAAAUAAUAACAUGAUUAGAUUAGUACCUGCGAGGAUUGAGAGUGGCAAAGGAAAAUAGGGCCUUUUUAGGGAUUCUCUCG